GACCACUGGCAGCCUGCCAGAAAUCGAGCAGUAAGGCAGGCCAAACACAUGUCUGUAGUUACAGAUUCUGCUGUGUAUGAGCAACUGCUAAAUCUUCGGGUGAGGCUCUAUUUGUUUUACUAUAAAGGCAGUUUUUGCAAUGGUGAAAUUCGCCUCUUGGAAUCCAGCAACCUAACUGUGUCAGACAUGGUGCUUAGGUCACAAUAACCUUUCUCCAUGUGGUCAUUCCCUGAGGACAAUGAGUUCUUUGGCAGAAACCAGGAGAUACAGUGAGGGAAACUUUAUGGAAGCAGUGGUGUCACGGUUGAAUCUGGAAGUAUCAGAAAUAAAGGAUGUGACAGAAGCCACCAGAUACAAUGCAGGGAUAUGCUCGCAACAGACAGUAACACCAGCUUCUGACACAUACAAGCCAUGUUAAUAAGUCUCAGGGAGGAACAUAAUGAGGUAAUGUUUACAAAUGCUGGGCUGUCUUGUCUUUGAACAAAAUUCAUUCUCAGCAAUGAUAUAUAAAAAGAAGAAAACAUUUGUCAUUGCUCAGGACUCUCAGAACAAAGCCUCUGCCUUCAGCUGUGUCUCAAGAAACCUGUUUUCCUGCAGCCCACCCUUGACUCUGAUUUAAUGACCCAUAUGGGUGGACCUGACACUGAGUAUGGUCUAAGGAGCAUGAUCUCAAACCAAUUUCUCACAAGCACUUGCCGCACUGUUUAGAGGUUUAUAUUUCCACCUAUGGUGGAGGCAACUUGAAGUCAGUGAUAAUUUAUUAAUCUUUAUAGCUUCAGGUACUAGCACGUUGCCUGAAACACAGCAAAUUAUCAGAAAAAGUUGACUGAAUGAACAGUGAACAUUCAAGUUAUCCUUGCAAAUCAUGAAUGCCAAAGAAUGCUCAAUCCAUCAGAGAAAACGAGUGAUUUCUCCUCUGAGAGUCUUUCUUUGGAGUGCCCUGUCCCAGGACUCAUUUUUACAUCCAGCCUAGAAAUUCUCACUUCUCUUGGUAUUCUUUUGGAUCGAGUCCCUCCCUUCAGCGAGUUAAAGCUUGCUUGAAAUGAAAAAUAUAAAUCUGUGUUUACAGUGAAAGACAGUUGAUCCUAUUUUUAAUUUUUGCCAAGAAGAUGAUGUCACUUAAGGGACAAAUAGCAGUGAUUUUUUACUUAGGAUUUUCCUGUUAGCUCGUCAGUAGAAGGUUACAGGUAUGUCAAAGAUACUUAAAUCAGCAAAAAUGAAGUUAAGGCCACAGAGAAGAUCCAAAACAGCAAUCAUAAUUAAGUGGUUAUCAAGCUUCACAUCGUAUAUUAAGUCUCAAAAGACCCUGAGAAUUGCCCAUGAGAGUUUGAUCACUGAUUGACAUGAGCUGGGAUUCUCCUGAGGUGACUGGUCCGAUGAGAAAUUUUUCUACCCUAGGUAGGUGGUAUAACUGAAAUAUCUUAGUUCCCUCAAUUUCCCAUGCCAUGAAAAUUGUCUCAAAUGUUUGCCUAAAAUCUUGCUCAUUAUUGUUGAAAAUCUCUUGUGUAAGUAAUGUAUUUUUGGAACAGUCUGUGAACUACUCCUUGACAAACUGCUGGUGAAAGACUUUAAAUGGUGCUGGGAAAAUUUACGUGGAGCUAUCUAUUCAUUCAACAUUGUUGCAAGUUGACUGAGAAAUCAUGGGUUUCUUUCAUUGUACGUUCCCCUCAGGGUGGUAAAUCUACUAUAAUUUAAGAGAGACUAGUUGUUUUAUAUGGGAGAAGGUUUUACUCAUAGCACAGCAGUGACAUGCUGAUGAAAACUUUAUUUUCUGGACCAACUAUUGGGACAAAUGGUCUGAAAAAUGAGACAAUCUACUAAAAACCAACACUGUCCUAAAAAAUAUGAAAGGCGUAGUUGCUUUCCUUAAAGCAGUUUUUCUCUUUCUUUGGCUGUGUAUAUACAAAAGGAGGAAUGAGAAACUUAAAGAAAUGGGAACUAUAAUGAAUGGGGAAUUACUCCAGAGUAGCUUUGAAAGAAUGAAGCAACAGGAAUGAGCCCCUAAGCAGAAUUCCCUACAACAAGUGUAAAUGCAAACUUUGAGAAAGCAGACAAGACAGUGCAAUAUUAUUAGGUUGGAAAGUGUUUAGAAAAUGUUUAUAAUGAGAAAGGUAUAAACGAUUAUUUAGUUUGCUUUUGAAAUGUUGCCUUUAAGAGCAAUGUUGGUCCAGGUGGCUGAAAUGAAUAAUGUAAGACGGCUGUGGCUCUCACCUAUAAUCCCAGCACUCUGAGAGCCCAACAUAGGAGGAUCGCUUAGGAGUUCAACCAGCUUGGGGAACAGAGGCAGACCCUGUCUCUGCAAAUAAUAAAAAAAGUAGCUGGGCAUACUAUUUUGUUUUUGAACAAAAUUUAUAAUAAAAAAAUUGAAGAAUAAUUCAAAAUUGUUAUUUGUAAUAAUUCGUAGAGACAAUGUCUCUACAAAUAAUACAAAAGUAGCUACUUGGGAGGCUGAGGCAGGAGGACCACCUGAGCCCAGGAGGUUGAGGCUGCAGUGACUGUGCCACUGCACUCCAGCCUGGAUGACAGUGGGGCCCUGUUUCAGAUAAAACAAAACAAAAACAAAAGUAAUAUUUAUUAAUGUUGCACUUGAAAGUUUUAAUAAACAGUUAAGUAAUCAGAAUAAAACAAUAAUUGGGAACAAGGCUGUGUGGCAGCAGGCCCUGCUUUAAUUACAUAUGCACAACAAACAGUGGGCACUAAUGAAUAUUCACUGACUGAUCAGCUGGAAGUUGGAAUCGUGAGCCUGAGGUACCAAGGGUACAAGUUUGCAGCAUAAUAAAACUCGAACCGCAUUUUUAAAAGUUCAAUAGGUAGGCCGGGCGUGGUGGCUCAAGCCUGUAAUCCCAGCACUUUGGGAGGCUGAGGCAGGUGGAUCACGAGGUCAAGAGAUUGAGACCAUCCUGGUCAACAUGGUGAAACCCCAUCUCUACUAAAAAUACAAAAAAUUAGCUGGGCAUGGUGGCCCAUGCCUGUAAUCUCAGCUACUCAGGAGGCUGAGGCAGGAGAAUUGCCUGAACCUAGGAGGCGGAGGUUGCAGUGAGCCGAGAUCGUGCCAUUGCACUCCAGCCUGGAUAACAAGAGCGAAACUCUGUCUCAAAAAAAAAAAAAAAAAGUUCAACAGGUAAAUGUAAAGUUGUGAAGUGACAAUAAAAUGUCACAAUUCCUUAUGAAUCUUCAUCAACCACAAAUUUAACAAAGCCCUUCUCCAACCUUUUAACUUUUACUAUGUGUAAGUAUACUGAGGCCAUUUCGCAAGCUUGUACUGCUCUCUUUAUUUUAAGGCAGGUGAUACAAACUCAAAUAUCUUUAAGGGCCAAGCAAGCCAUGAAAAUGAGGUGAGUGGACUGAGUGGAGAGCAUGGCAUACAGGAAGCACACGUUCCGUGUCUUAGGGAAGUCAGUUAUCGUCCUGCAGAAACACAGGUCUAGUGUGAUCAGUUCGUCUAAUUUUUAAAGAGGCUGGAUAUUGAUAAAUAUAUAUAUAGUUUUGAGACAGAGUCUUGCACUGUCACCCUGACUGGAGUACAGUGGCACAAUCUCGGCUAACUGCAACCUCCACCUCCUGGUUCAAGUGAUUCUCCUGCCUCAGCCUCCCAAGUAAGUGGGACUAUAGGCAUGUGCCACCAUGACUAGCUGAUUUUUGUAUUUUUAGUAGAGUCAUGUUGGCCAGGAUGGUCUUGAACUCCUGACCUCAAGAGAUCCACCCACCUUGGCCUUCCAAAGUGUUGGGAUUACAGGCAUGGGCCACUGUGCCCACCCUGCAUAUUGUUAUUUUUAUGAAAACUUAGUUUUUAAAGGACAGCAAAUAACUUCCAAAACCCAAGCACUGUAGAGCAAACAAAAUUUUCAGGCCAGGAGUGGUGGUUCAUGCCUGAAAUCCCAGCAUCUUGGGAGGCCAAGCAGGUGGAUUGCUUGAACCCAGGAGUUAGAGACCAGCCUGGGUAAUGUGGUGAAACCCAAUGUCUAUGAAAAACAUAAAAAUCAACCAGGCAUGGUGGUACAUGCCUGCAGUCCCAGCUACUCGGGAGCUGAGGUGGGAGGAUCACCGAGCGCACAAGAUUGAGACUGCAGUGAGCUGUGAUUGUGCCUCUGUACCCUAGCCUGGGCGACAGAGUGAGACCCUGUCUCAAAAAAGAAAUUUCAUGAGCCAGAUAUGGCCUGUUGCACAUGGUGCCUACUAUUUAAGGUAUUCUAAGAUUUGGUGAAAAGGUUCAUGUUCUGCUUAGCUGCACUGUCCAUGCUUUUUAAAACUUGGGUGAAAUUCUCAACUUUUUUUUGGAGGUGGGGGAGACAGGUUCCCAUUCCACUGCCCAGGCUAGAGUGUUAUGGCACAGUUAUAGUUCAAUGCAGCCUCAAGCCCCUGGAGACCUUCAGUACUUAUUGUACUAAACCACAGUAACAAAACUCAACUUGGCUCUCAAAGCUUCUUGUUGAAUCACUUUACCUUCUCCAUCGGUUCAUCCCCAAAGAGAACUGGGGUGAUAACCAAACUAUUCUAUUCUCCCAAGGCACCUUGACUAUAUUGAAAUAUCUUUUCUUCCCUCUAUUUUUAUGGUAUCUGCUGAUUAUAAAAAAUUUGAUUCAAAUUUUACUUUCUUUGGGAAUCCCAUUCCAACACAGUAAAUUUUCUUCUGUGUCCAACAAAUCAUAAACCGGUAGUCAAGCUCACAAGAAACAUUAGAAUAAUCCAGUUCAUUUGCUUCUCCAGCUAAUGUUUAAAAAUUAUUUUUUAAGUUUUAUUUUGUAGGCAGUAGGUUUUUAAAUUUUUAUUUUAAGGAAUUAAUAUUUUUAAGAGACAGGGUCCUGCUCUGUUGCCCAGGCUAAAGUGCGGUGGCACCAUCCCACUUCAGUGCAGCCUCGAACUCCUGAGCUAAAGCAAUCCUCCCUCAGCAUCCCAAGUUCUUUAGAUAAUUUUAAAAAAUGAACCCUCACAAAGCAUUGCCUGACUCUGUAAGUUUACAAGGACGUUGUGCUUCUCCAUAUUAUGCCGAAAAAGGUAUACAUUAAGGGUCACAAACUCAAAGGCCUAUGGAGGCCAGACAGGUAACACAAACAGUCCACUGUAAGAGGACUGGGAGUUGAAUGACUCUGGCAACGUAGAAUGCAAAUGCCCCAGCUCAUGAGGCAGUGCAGGGCCAAAGUGGCCAGGCCUUUUUUUUUAAAAAAAAAAACCAAAAACAAAACCAAAAUAAAACAGGUCAAAACUUUGGGAGCCAAACAAAACAGAACUGUGAGAUGCUGGUUUUGACUUUGUGUAUAAUACACUAUUUUCCUUGAGUUUAGAGAAUGUUUUCCAAAUAAAACAGCAGAAGGAUAUGCAUGGAAAACAAGGGAAGUCACUAGACAUACCACUGUAGACAGAAGGGGAUCCAGUAAACUGCAUUAGGUGAGUAUUUUGUGAAGUCUAGCCGAAACCUAAGCCCUCAAAUGCUGCCUCAAGGUGAGCAAUCGCUUUCCUUUGGAAAGGCUCAUUUGUGGGACUCUACAAAGAGAUGACAUUAGUUGCAUCUUAAGUAUACACAUUUGAAUAAGGGCUGGUUUGGUUUCACUCGGAAUAAUAAGAGCCGAAAAUCACAAUAGGUUCUGACCAAAUUUUACCAAAAAUACGUCAUUCUUUCUUAACAGAAACAAACACACAAAGCUCAAACAUCCUGGUGGGACUAAAACAAAACAGGGUAUGAAAGUAAAUUUUGAUAAUAUACGUUAUCAUUGUGAAUUGUUUCUUUCUCAUAUGUCCCACAAUCCUUUCUUUUGGGAAUUAUCUGUCUUUAGAAAUACAAUAUUUCUGUUGGAAUUUGUAAUUCUCCAGGUUGGCCAAUUACAGAAUCUCAUUUCCUAGAUGUAAUGGUUUGUCCUGAAGUAUGCAUGACUUCGGCCAGGUUAGUGAAGUGCCAGUCCUACUUGAGAAACGAGGAUGCUGGGAUGGAGUGGGAUGGCAAGCUUUAAAAGGGACCACAUAGUUCUGCAUCUGUUCCCAAGACACUACAAGUACACAUGAAGAAAUCACUUCACAGUGACAAAAAGAGAGUCCUGGUAACAUCAUUUGAACACAAAUCCAAGGAUGUCUGAGGAUACUGCAAACACUGAUAAAUAGUUUACUUUUUAACUUGAGUAAAUUUGAUUUGGGUUCCUGUAAAUUACAACAGGGAGCCUUGACUAACACAAGAAACAUUUGUGGUUUAUAUCUUUAUUUUAGGAGAAUGUGCAUUCAAGUAAGUUAAUUUCAGAAAUAGGCAGCUGAAUUGUAUAAUUGCUUCCCAGCUCAACAUAUAUUGAUAAUUUAUAUUCUAUAUAUUUAAUACACUAAUGCCAGCAAAUAAACAUUUCUAUCCUCAUUCAAGUGCUAUUUCAAAAUAUAAUUUAGUUCUAAUGAUGUCAGUAAUGCCAUGUUCAGUACCAAAAAUUUAGACAAUAUAGGAAAGCAUAAGAAAAAAAAAAGUGAAUUUUAAAAGUUAGGAUUAAAUUAACAUUGCCCACUGUGGGCCAAGCACCACAAUGGCUCAUGCCUGUAAUCCCAGCACUUUGGGAGACCAAGGCAGGAAGACUGCUGGAAACCAGGAGUUUGUGUCGAGCCUGGGCAACAUAGUGAGGUCCCGUCUCUACAAAAUAUUUUUUAAAAUAAAUUAACGUUAGUCAAAAGUUCCAUUGUACACAGAAUUGCAUAUUUUUGGAUAUAUAUGUUGACUUUAAUAACCCAUGGGAACCAUUUUCAGUAUGAAUUACAAUUUAAGAUAAAAAAUUGUGUUUACAUGUAUAUGCUGUGAGUGUCUAGUAAAAUAUUAAUCUAUGGUAGAAUAUAGGAUCUUUGCAUUUAUCCCCUACAAAGAGUACUACAGGAACCCUGAGAGCAGGAAAUGCAUGAUGAAAAGGCUGCAUUUGAAUAUUAAAUAUGCCUAGGUCAUGUGAGAAUGCCUUCCAGUUAUAUUUGAAUUCAGAUUACUGGGGAGGCAGGAUGGAUGCAUGCUCACCUCUU